rnacentral:lncRNA from 1 species
UAAGUUUGUAUAGCAAAAUUUUAGUCACUUUAAUUAGCCAUUUGAAUUGGAUAAUAACUGUUCAAUGCACAGAUUUAAUCAUGCUGGUUCAGAUGCUUUUUGAACUUUUCUUUAACUAAAAAUUUUAUAUGAUGUUGACUAGAAACAUAAAUUGAGUUUACUACUACACGUGUGGAGUGUGAGUGUUGAUAUUUCCUUAUCUUACUGUGUUCUUUGGGGCUUUUAUUUGUAUGUGAAAAUUCCAAAAUAUCUUCAAUUUCCUAACUGAUUUAAGGUGCUGGAAAUGACACGCUUUAAAGUUUCUCAAAUAAAUUUUUACUCAUAAGAAGGUCUCAAAUUUUUGUAUAAUUUGUUCUUACUUUUGGUUAAUGAUUUGGACCCUUUCUUCCGGGUGUGAAAAUUCUGAAAUUGUGUUUGACUCUGUGUUCUCGGUUUUCCUUUGUUGUUUGUAGAUUUUAUUCCGGGCUAAAAAUGCUAGAAUAAUUGCAAUAACAUAAAUGUGUAGUAUUUGUGUGUUCAAAUCAGUGUAACAAAAACUUAGUGGCUUCAAUUAGUCACUUGAAUUGGAUACUGCCUAAUUAGUGAAAUGACAUCGACAUCACCUUAAACUAUUGUUCAGUGAUAAGAAACCAUCACAAUCUCAGACAAAACAACUCUGCAGAGGUUUCUGUCAGGUAAACACUGAUAAGAUUUGUUCAUUCUUAAUGGUUUCAAUAUUAUAUAUGUUAUUGGGUUUUUGUUUCAGGGGACUAAGGUUGUUUCUCGAAACCAAGAUGAUUUUGCUAUGAUUUCACCAAGAAUUAAACUCAGAGAUGGGAGGCACCUGGCUUAUCUUGAGAGAGGGGUUUCUAAGGAUGUGGCAAAGUACAAGAUCAUCAUUGUCCAUGGUUUUGGAAGCUCCAAAGAGAUGAACUUUCUCGCAUCCCAAGUACAAUUACUCAUUCCCUGUCAACUUAAACAGAAUAGUAGUACUAUACAAUUAAGAUAUUCAUAUGCUGAAUAAGGUUACUCAACGUGUAUAUAUACAUAUAUACAGGAACUAAUAGAUGAACUAGGCAUAUAUCUGCUGCAAUAUGACCGAGCUGGGUAUGGAGAAAGUGAUCCAAAUCCCAAACGCUCGCUCAAAAGUGAAGCACUUGACAUUCAAGAACUUGCUGAUCAGUUAGAGUUAGGGCCACAGUUCUAUGUCAUUGGAGUCUCAAUGGGUUCAUAUGCUACAUGGAGUUGCCUUCAGUACUUACCCCACAGGUACAGAAUUACAACCUUCCAUAUGGAUAUAUAGAUUGCAAGACAAAAUAGUCUAUUUGGAUUUUUUUGAUAAGAGGGAAAUUGAUAAGAGAUUAAUUGAGUAUCCAGCUGGAUUUUGAUCUGAGAUUGCAUCGCAGUUAGGGAAGCGAUCCCUGGUUCGAACCUCUUUAUUCUCCCUCUCUCUGACCCAAUAUCACCUUUACUUAAUUUCACUGCUCAUAACUAUACAUAAUAUGGAUCUUGAUUAAUUAGUGAAAUUUUAAUUUCUGUGUGGAAAUUACUUAAUUCAGAAUGCCAACGAUUAUGUGUUUUCAUCUGUUUCACAUUAAGAGUACUGUCUACAUGCAGUAGUAGGAGUAUAUAUGCUUUUACAUUUCCUAUUUCCUCUUAUAUAUAUGCUUUCUGUGUGUAACAAACUCUGCUUUAUGCUUAAUUAAAUUUGAUUAGCUUUCAUAUUCCUAAUUAAGAUAGUAUUUUGUUGAACCAGAUUGGGGUUGGGUGCUUAUUAGAGAAGCUAAUAAGGCUAAUAAUUUGAAUUUCCUCAUAUAGAGCUGAAGCUUGCCGGACUUAUUUUUUCUCUUGCUUAUAUUUAUAUAAAUUAUAUUUAAUUUUUCUUUUUUUUUGUGGUUUAGUAAUGUUUUUUUUUUGAGAUAAUGCAUAUUUUAGAACGAGCGAAAUGAGAAGAACCGGUUGAUUGUAGAAAGAGAAAAAGCUUUUAGCUUUUUUUGAAGUUAUAGAUUGGUUUUUGAUAUAUAUAUUUAGUGGUUCUAAUAUUUUAUAUGCUAAAGUUUUUGCUUCUUUUAUGGGUUGUUAUGUUAAUAUAAUACAUUAGAAUGAGGAGUUGUGUUGAGACAAUUUUGCUUCUUUUGGUUUUAAUUUCUAUUUAUCUCUUACUUCUAUUUAGCAGCAGAGAAAGAAGAAGAACAACUCGAGCAUGGCACAAACGCUAGCGAUGCCUAUAGCUCCCUCUCUCGCCCUAAUCUCAAACCCUAGACCUCUUUCCAGAGCCGUCUAUUUCCCUGUUCUCAACCCUCCCAAGGUAACAUAAAACAAACUCUACCUUACAUUUCUGAAAUUUGUUUGUUUACUUUCGAAUUUGUGUGCUCAGGUGAGAGAGUUAAGCAUAGAGUGCGCUCGAGUUGGCGGAGUGGAGAUUCCGAACAAGAGAAUUGAGUUCUCGCUAUAGUACAUCCAUGGAAUCGGAAGGAGCAGAGCUCGCAAGAUUCUCUACGAUAUAAGCAUGGACAACAAGAUCACUAAGGAUCUCAGCGAAGAGGAUCUCAUCACUCUUAGAGAUGAAGUCCCCAAAUAUGUCAUUGAAGGCGAUUUGGUUAGUUUCCUUUCGCUUAAACCAUUCAGUUAAUUAAGAAGAAAGUUUAAUUUAUUGAUGUGUUUAUUGAUUUUCUUAGAGGAGGUUUAAUGCGCUGAAUAUAAGGAGAUUGAAGGAGAUUCAAUGUUAUAGAGGAUAGGUAGAUAGGUACGUUUGCUGAAGAAGGCAAACAAAAUAUCAGUGCUAUGCGAUGCCGAAGUCGCACUCAUCAUCUUCUCUACCAAAGGCAAGCUCUUCGAAUAUUCCAGCGAUCCCUGGUUCGUACUUCUUCAUUCUCCCUCUCUCUGACCCAAUAUCACCUUUACUUAAUUUCACUGCUCAUAACUAUACAUAAUAUGGAUCUUGAUUAAUUAGUGAAAUUUUAAUUUCUGUGUGGAAAUUACUUAAUUCAGAAUGCCACCGAUUAUGUGUUUUCAUCUGUUUCACAUUAAGAGUACUGUCCACAUGCAGUAGUAGUAGAAGAAAAAAUUGAACUAUGAAUGAUUUCAAAUUUUAAAGGUAGAAGAAAAACAGAAAAGUUAUUGCUUAUUAAUGUGAUGAUUUUGUGGGUUGGAAGUGUUCAAGUAGCUGCUUCUCAAAGAGUAUUUUUAUGGAAUACGGAUUGAAUCAAAAUGAAGAAGCAAGAACAGAGUUGAGAGCAGUAGAUGCGUGGAUACUGACUGACAAGCCUUACUCUCAUCAAUCCAUUCAUUCGGUAAGCUUCAAUCUCCAUUCCCAGUUCUUCCCCUUCUUGGAUCGGUUUUUGGCUAUGAUAUCUUGGUGUUUCAGGUUUCUUUCUUUUCCUAACCCUUAUUGAUAUAGCUACUUGUGCGAUUAGGGUUCAUGGAAAAGGAUCCUGGGAACAAAUUUUUUUGGUCUGAUUUGUCAGAUUCAUUUAAAGAUCGGUGGUAGUUCUCAAGAGGAAAUCAGCCUAGGGUUCAUGUCACUCUGCCUCUCUCUUAUCUUGAGAAACAACAAGUUAGGUGGGAAUUUUUACGGUGGCCCUGUCCUUUCUCUGUCCCCUUCCAUCAUGUGGCGUGUUUCACUGUUCAGUCUGAAUUUCCUGUGAUGUAGGUAUGUAGUGGUUAUGACUUAUUUCAGAUUCUUUGAUAUUUGUUUACUUUGAUACUCAAGUUUCCUUUCAAUUAACAGGAUUUGUUUUUGUCCCUGUUUGGGCAUUCUUUUCUGAUUCUGUUUUGAAAAUUGUAUUUUUUGUUUUGAUAUAAGAUAUUUUGUUCCAGUAACAGUAAUUAUUUUUGGUUCUGUUCAUCCAUUCCCUUCUGAUUUCCUUCUGAAAAUUGGGUGGUUUUGUUUGUAUUGCUGCUUGUGUGAUAGAUGAAACAAAUGAACUAUGCUUAGUGUCAACUGAUUCAAAAAAGCUCCUCUCUAAUCUCACCCCCUGGAAGGAAUGUUGGAAGAUAACACUCAGAAUCAUCAGAAUGAGGAGUUUAAUUGAUCAUAGGGAGGAGAAUGAAGAACAUGCUUUUCUUCGGCUUCUAAUAAUGGAUAAAGAAGUUAGUUAUUAUAGCUAUUUUGAUAGUUUUGUUGAAUAAGUUUGUAUAGAAAAAUUUUAGUCGCUUUAAUUAGUCAUUUGAAUUGGAUAAUAACUGUUCAAUGCACAGAUUUAAUCAUGCUGCUUCAGAUGCUUUUUGAACAUUUUUUUAACUAAAAGUUUUAUAUGAUGUUGACUAGAAACAUAAAUUGAGUUUACUACUACAUAUGUGUGGAGUGUGAGUGUUGAUAUUUCCUUAUCUUAUUCGAUUUCAGUUUUAUUGUGUUCUUUGGGGAUUUUAUUUGUAUGUGAAAAUUCCAAAAUAUCUUUAAUUUCCUAACUGAUUUAAGGUGCUAGAAAUGACACGCUUUAAAGUUUCUCAAAUAAAUUUUUACUCAUAAGAAGGUCUCAAAUUUCUGUAUAAUUUGUUCUUACUUUUGGUUAAUGAUUUGUACCCUUUCUUCCGGUUGUGAAAAUUCUGAAAUUGUGUUUGACUCUGUGUUCUCGGUUUUCCUUUGUUGUUUGUAGAUUUUAUUUCGGGUUGAAAAUUCUAGAAUAAUUGCAAUAACAUAAAAGUGUCAGUUUAACAAAAACUUAGUGGCUUUGAUUAGUCACUUGAAUUUGAUACUGCCUAAUUAGUGAAAUGACAUGCUUUCAAAUUUCAGUUUUUGAUAUUUUCUCAUUCAAAGAUUUCAAGGUUCUUUUUGUUCUUUAUUAUAAGUUUGGGUGUAUUCUUCGGAUUUUUAAUCUUGAGUUUGAAUAUGCUAAAAGCUUUUCAAAAUAAGUGAACAAGUGCGGUUUUAAUUUGACCAAUUUAUGCAUUCAAGUUCGAAAAACUAAUUGUGUUAAAACAGUGGAAAAUUCUUUAAAAAUCUGUAUGGUGUAAUUUCAACCGCUGGGUUCCUUUAUUUUAUUCUUUAUUGUUUCUUUGAUCUUUUGGUCUUUAUUUUCUUGGGUACUUAUUGUAUCAAUGCAUAUUUUGUUUUCCUCUUUUAUGAG